rnacentral:rRNA from 1 species
UGCAAGUCGAACGAAGGCCCGGAGCUUGCUCCGGAUACCUUAGUGGCGGACGGGUGAGUAACACGUGGGAAUUUGCCCUUCAGUACGGAACAACUCUCGGAAACGGGAGCUAAUACCGAAUACGCCCUACGGGGGAAAGAUUUAUCGCUGAAGGAUGAGCCCGCGCCGGAUUAGCUAGUUGGUGAGGUAAUGGCUCACCAAGGCGACGAUCCGUAGCUGGUUUGAGAGGAUGAUCAGCCACACUGGGACUGAGACACGGCCCAGACUCCUACGGGAGGCAGCAGUGGGGAAUAUUGGACAAUGGGGGCAACCCUGAUCCAGCCAUGCCGCGUGAGUGAUGAAGGCCUUAGGGUUGUAAAGCUCUUUCAGUGGGGAAGAUGAUGACGGUACCCACAGAAGAAGCCCCGGCUAACUCCGUGCCAGCAGCCGCGGUAAUACGGAGGGGGCAAGCGUUAAUCGGAUUUACUGGGCGUAAAGCGCGCGUAGGCGGUCUGUUUAGUCAGGCGUGAAAGCCCUGGGCUCAACCCAGGAACUGCGUUUGAAACUGGCAGACUAGAGUUCGGGAGAGGAGAGUGGAAUUCCCAGUGUAGAGGUGAAAUUCGUAGAUAUUGGGAAGAACACCAGUGGCGAAGGCGGCUCUCUGGACCGAU